rnacentral:lncRNA from 1 species
CCCAUCUCCCACCUACGCUGUGUAACCAAAACUUUUGUUUUUUGCAAGCACCCACCCUCCUUGAAACUCUCAGGUGUGACGAGUAUGUGACUCAGCUGGAUGAGAUGCAGAGCAGCGGCUGCGGCAGAGGAACGAGAAGAAGACGCUAAACUGCUCCUGCGGAUGGCCAUCCAGCAGAACUUGCCCGGACCCAGCGUCUGGAGGACCUAGCCUUCGACCAGGAGCAGUCGCACUGCACCCGCAGCGGCAAGGUGGCCCGCAUGAAGAGAAGCACCCCCAAAGAUCGUCAGAAGUCUGCUGCCACAGUGCCGCCAGUCUCCUCACAGCUAAGGUGGGAGAAGGCCUCCCAAGCCAGCAGAUGUAGCAUUGUGUCAGUUAUCCAGGAGCAUCGAGCUCACUGCCCGCUGAGCAGCUACCGCAGCGGCCCCCCACGAGUGCCUCUCCUUUGGCUCGCCCAGCCGCCUUGUCCCCCUGGUCCUCUAUAACCCUGGAACUACUACACCCUGACCUCCAACCCCAUCACAGCACUCUGCAGGGCAGAGCCAGAGCAGUGCCUCUCGCUGUGGAAGAGAAGGACGACGCUCACAAAGACUUUUAAGAGACUGUCUGACUGAGGAUUUGUGGGAGAAAAGAGCGACAUGCCGCCAUCUUUGCUACCAAGCUAGCUAUUAGUCAUUGUUCAUCAUGUCUUUGUCUAUGGUGUUUUGGGGGUUGUUGAAACAUACUUUUAUGUUACGACCAGUGAUGAUUAUUUUGUUUGGGUUCAAGAGGUGGACAACUGUUGGGUUUUGCUGAAUGUAUAGCUAGCUGUACAAUAAUUAACGGUACAAUACAGUUUGUCGCGAACGCCAAGGUGGCAGUGGACAAAGCCAUAACUGUGUAUUUGAAAUGCAUGUAAACAAAACAAGUAUUAGCUUUCACAAACACAGAUUGUUUAAGUCAUUUUCUUCUCUUUUCAUCGAUUGUCCCCACCCCUCACCAAGAUCGUAGUUUUUUAUAUUCUAUGGAAUUGCUUUCAAACGCACUUUGCUCACGCACCCUACGGUAUAUGAAUAUGUUUCUAUUGCACUUUUAAUGUGUUUUACAGGAUAAGAGAUUUACAAACAUUGUAAAGGCUGACAGUGUUUGUACCAUCAUUGUCCUUCCUUGCUUCUACAGUAUCUAUGUUGAAGCAUCAUCUUCGUCCCAAAUGACACCACAUUCGCCAAAGUAGUGCACUACAUAGGGCAUAGGGUGCCAUUCGGGACAUACUUUUCGUCCUUCCUCUCUCUCUGAAGGCCUCAAUCAACGUCCUGAAUGUCAAGCACAAACUGACCAAUGCAUUCCAAUACUAGUUGUGAUCGACUGUUUACCCACACUGGGUUAAAUAAUGAUGUUGAAAGUAGAUCUCUAUCCAAGAUUGCCUUUUGUUUUCUACAUCCUGUGUAUGGAAGUAACCAUGCUGGAUCGGCGUGUAGACAGCUUUCACUAUAGAAUAGUAGUACUAGUAGCACUGUAGUUGUAGUAAUAGUAGAGGUAGUUGGCAGUUUAUGCUGUACUGUAUUCAACCAUGAUGCUAUGUAUCCUAACCUAGAAAUACCAAUUUGGAGCUUUUCUCAAACCACCACCCAGCAACCAUCCACUCGGUCACAGCUCAUAAGCGUGGAAAAAUGGGAUGAAUUCACACACCUCAGCCUGGCUUUAGACAGAAGAUUCUGUUUCUAAAGGAUCUCUGACCAGAACUGUGGUUGCUAACUGCAGUUGGGUUUCAAAAACGUUGGGUUUUGACAUGCUUUUGUGUUAUUCUGGUGAAUGUUGUCUGCUCCAUUCCUUACUAGGCUUCUCAGACAUCACGUGAAGCAGAUGAAGGAGAAGGAAGGGGUUUUGUGUAACCAGCCGGAGACUGUAUUAACCCACAGAGCUAAAACCCAACGCAUUCGUUUGGGAGAGCAAACUUGCUUUGGAGCCCAAUGGCUUUAAACGUAUCAGAUGGUUCAAAUACCAUUGAAGGUAUACAUAGGCCAACUGGACAUACAGUAAGCUAUGAAGAAAAUGAUUCAUGUUACUAGCUACCUUUUUCUGUACCUGGAGUGUAUAAGUACUCAGGGCACAAAGAUGAAACUCUGAAUGUGUGUCCCAUAAUAAAGAUUGAACGGACUGGCUUGCACAAUUUCAACACUACUCGACAACUCAAUAAAAACCAUUAGACAUUCAGACAGCAAUAUAUACAUGUAUGGUAUCUUUCAAAUUUUUAUUGCAUAUUUAACCAUGUAAAGCCUACAUUUCAAAACACAAUAAAUUCCCCCUAAUCUUAUAGGGGACUGCUAAACACGUUCGCAUAUUUAUUUUGAAACAUUACCAUCAACACCUUUAGGAAAAUGGCAUUCGAGUUUCGGCCACCAAAGGCUCACAGGGGGCGGAGGGUUUAUUGGUGCCAUUGUUAAGAUCUAUCGGAUUCGACAUCACUGAUGGAGAUUCAUAGCAUGUGGAAAUUUGUAUUGGACUUUUGGAAUUUGGUACGCCUAUUUACGUUUCUGUUGGAGGAGCAGCUCGGUAAUUAACGUUACCUGAGUAAAUCCCAACGGCGCCUCGAAUCCGAUCUCUAUUCACGAUCAGGUGAACAAUACGUUGUAUAAAGGUUAUUAUAAAUCAUAUUACCAUGUUUGACGGUGACCUGAUGAAGAGGGGGAGUGUGAAGACCACUCAUCGUGAGAAGGAGGAGCUUAGGCGGACGGCYGUGAGGAGAAAGGGAAGGGAAUUACCGCAGGAGACAGAAGGUCAGCCGUCUCCAACUGCAGUUGUCUUUUGGAAACGUUGAGUGAGUGCGUCAGCGCAAAUAGAACUCACUGGACACAUUUCAAAUGUAUCCUACUAUAGCCUAGGUUGUCUGUGUGGUUUUUGCAUCUCUUGUUAUGAUGGAUUUAACUCGUUUUGAGCAGAUUAGUGGAGAUGGAUCUUCAGUGGC